CACCACCCCUGCAAUACCAAUCCAUACAACGUUUGAUUCUUCGUCUUAUUUACUUUUUUAAUGAUAAAUAUUCUUAUUGUUAUUAGAUGAUAAAACAUGAAUAAUACUUUAUAUAUGUCUAUUUCAUUAAAAAAAUUAUAAAUUUUUUAAAUAAAACAGAUGGUCAAACGUUGGAUACAGAAAUACAAAAAUGAACUUAAU
rnacentral:pre_miRNA from 1 species